rnacentral:rRNA from 1 species
UACGUAGGGGGCAAGCGUUGUCCGGAAUCAUUGGGCGUAAAGCGCGUGUAGGCGGCUCGAUAAGUCUGCUGUGAAAGUCCAGGCUCAACCCUGGGAUGCCGGUGGAUACUGUCGAGCUCGAGUCCGGAAGAGGCGAGUGGAAUUCCUGGUGUAGCGGUGAAAUGCGCAGAUAUCAGGAGGGACACCGAUGGCGAAGGCAGGGUCUGCCUGGGCAUUAACUGA